UUUAGCAUUGGGAUUAUUCUUGAUAAUGCCAUUACCCACAGCAUGCAACAGGUGAGUUUUACCCAAACCUGUACCGCCAUA
rnacentral:antisense_RNA from 1 species